GGGGAGUUAGGCUUGCUACUUACCUUGACUACAUGUACCAUUGUUGUUUCCUCGGCAGGUCCCCUGCCGACAGGAACCCCUGACACCCUUUUGUAUAGCAUCUAAAACUCUGAUACCAACAAAAUUAUUUACAACUUUUAACAAUGGAUCUCUUGGUUCUGGCAUCGAUGAAGAACGCAGCGAAAUGCGAUAAGUAGUGUGAAUUGCAGAAUUCAGUGAAUCAUCGAAUCUUUGAACGCACAUUGCGCCCCUCGGUACUCCGUGGGGCAUGCCUGUUCGAGCGUCAUUUACCCCUCAAGCUCUGCUUGGUGUUGGGCGUCUGUCUGCGCUUCGCGCGUGGACUCGCCCUAAAGGUAUUGGCAGCGGUCGUGCCAGCUUCUCGCGCAGCACAAUGCGGUUGUAGAGGCGGUCGAUCAGCGUCCAUCAAGCUCACAUCCACAGUUUGACCUCGGAUCAGGUAGGGAUACCCGCUGAACUUAAGCAUAUCAAUAAGCGGAGGAAAAGAAACCAACAGGGAUUGCCCUAGUAACGGCGAGUGAAGCGGCAACAGCUCAAAUUUGAAAUCUGGCUCUCAAUUGGGGGUCCGAGUUGUAAUUUGCAGAAGAUGCUUUGGCGUCGGCAGCGGUCUAAGUUCCUUGGAACAGGACGUCACAGAGGGUGAGAAUCCCGUACGUGGUCGCCUGCCUUCGCCGUGUAAAGCUCUUUCGACGAGUCGAGUUGUUUGGGAAUGCAGCUCUAAAUGGGAGGUAAAUUUCUUCUAAAGCUAAAUACCGGCCAGAGACCGAUAGCGCACAAGUAGAGUGAUCGAAAGAUGAAAAGCACUUUGGAAAGAGAGUCAAACAGCACGUGAAAUUGUUAAAAGGGAAGCGCUUGCCGCCAGACUUGCCCGCAGUUGCUCACCUAGGCUUUUGCCUGGGGCACUCUUCUGUGG
rnacentral:rRNA from 1 species